UAUCUAUGAAGCUAAGGUAGUGUUUAUUUACCGCUUUCGGUGAUUGAGGUUAUAUUCACAGCCCAGAAAUGAAACUUAUUGGACGAUUGGCCCAGCCCAAGCUGUCUUUGGCGCUUAAAACAUUUGGCGCACGAACGCGGCCGGCAGCUGCGGGCUGCCAGGCUGCGUCGCGCCAGUCGUCAAGACGGCCGAAGGGGGUGGUCGUCCCGGACAGUACGGGGCCCUCACCGUUUGAGCAUCACCACCACCAUAUAGCUGCAAUAGCAUAUUUGCAACGGGUUGCAGCAUGACUGAUUUGCACUACUCCUACGCUUUGGAAAGAUCUACCAUUGGAAGAAUUGUAAAAGAAGUGUGUCAAGAAAUAUGGUUUUGCAUGAAAGACAUGUGUAUACCACAACCCACUGAAGAGAAUUGGCUUAAUAUUGCAGCAGAUUUUGACAGGAGAGCCAACUUUGCUCAUUGUUUGGGAGCCAUUGAUGGCAAACACAUUAGAGUAAUAUAACCAAAACAGAGUGGCUCACUUUACUACAACUAUAAAAAAUUCUUUUCCAUUGUUCUUCUCGCGGUUUGUGAUGCUGAUUACAUGUUUACCUAGGUACACAUAGGAUCGUAUGGACGAACAAACAAUUCCUCUAUUUUCAAGCAGACACCAUUGUACAAAAGAAUGGUGGAUGGAACCUUGAGGAUUCCUGUACCAGCCCAAAUUUUAAGAACAGUCAAUGAGAUUAUACCAUUCCUAUUUAUUGGCGAUGAAGCAUUUGGACCGUCUGAAAACAUGCUAAGACCUUAUGGUGGAAGGAACCUUUCUAAAAAGAUGAAAAUCUUCAACUACAGAUUGUCCAGGAGUCAUCGGUACAUAAGAGCGCAGUUUCGGUAUUCUUGCUAAUACCGUAUUUACUCGCGUAAAGGCCCCGCCCGCGUAUUGUAAACAUUUUUGAGAAAAAAAUUUAAUAACGUGUUUUUCUGGGUUUAUCUGAGGGCAGGGCAGCUUGGCAUGCAUCAAACAAGCCAUGUAUUGUGAGCGGUGGGAGGUGAUUUUGUAAGCGACAGUGAUACAGAGACUGGUAUUAUAGUUUGUCUGUUCUCAGGACCGUCGUGAGGCAUGCCAGACGUAAGCAGUUAGUCCUAUCUCAAACGACAUAAAGAUAAAGAAAGCUGGACUCGCCCGCUGCCACUGUGUUGAUGUGGAAUGUUGUCCGAGAAGAAGAGGGGAAGUGAAGGAGGAAGGGAAGUGGGUCAAGGAUUCUAACACUCCUUUGUCUGGUUGGCUGGCUAGCUGGCAGGAGGGAGGUUAAGCCACGCCUCUGCCUCUCUCCCCUCCUGCCACAGCGCUACCUCUGCUUCUUUCCCCCCUUGUCAAAGCGCUGCCUCUCCCCCCUGCGGAGUCGUUGCCUCUCCCCCCUGCGGAGUCGUUGCCUCUCCCCCCUGCGGAGUCGUUGCCUCUCUCUCCAUCCUGUCGCUCAUUCGAACAAAGACGCACGACUUGAAAAGAAAAAUCUAUUUUUUCCUCCAAAUUCGCGUAUAGGCCCCCUCCCCUUUUUUGGAGUCAAAAUUUGGGAAAAAAAGGGGGGCCUUUACGCGAGUAAAUACGGUAAAUGGCGUAUUUUACACUGCCCACUGGAUGUCGACAUUGAAUUGGCAGAAGAUAUUGUGAAAGCAUAUUACACAUUACAUAAUUUUGUAAGAAAGAGAGACGGCUACAAGUUUGAAGAUGCAAUUAUCACUCCAGGCCUUCCCAUUCUUGAGCGAGACAACACGAGUAGGGGUAAUCAUAGAGCAUUGGCUGUUAGAGACAUUUUUGCAGAUUAUUUCAUUAGUGAAGAGGGAGAACUGAAAUGGCAGUAUUAUAUGAUAUAAGAUUGAAUGUAAAACCAAAUACAUUUCCUGUUGUUUCGCUCAGGUGUUCAAUGCACUUACACUGUUCGGAACGAUAUGAGCAAAAAGCUACAUUUCGGUCUUAAAACAGAAGAAUUUGAGUUAUAUAACUACAUGUUUUUAUAACUUCACUUUAAUAGUGACAUAUUAUUAGUAAAAAAUUAAAUAUUAAUUCAACACAAACUACUUUUUUAAAGUGGGUUAGUAAAGUAACUCAAACAGCAUGUACGACAUGCAUAGGCCCUACAUUUACAGUAUAUAUACAUAAAUGUUACAACAACACAACAUUUUAAAUGUAAAGUCUGAACAACACAGCAUUGAUAAACAAACAGCUGAACAUAUUGUCCAGUUUAGACAAGUAAUGUAAAACAUGUAAUUUAAUCCAUUGUUGUGUAUUAUGUGGUGUUGUUUAUGUGAAUUAAUAUUAUGUUUAACAUUUGCGUUGUGUUAAAAUUAUGUUAUGUAAUAUCAUGUUAUUUAUAGUUAUAUAAAAUUAGUAUUACUUACCAAAUUCGUUUUUCUCUUCAUUCGACUUCGCGUCAUUGUUACUCAUAAACAUGUUAAUUAACUCUUCCCAUGCUUUUCUUCUUUUUGUCCCUAUUCGAAUAUUCCGAUGUACUAGCAUCCCAAAUAGCUGGGCGGAGUUGUACUUCGUGAAUAAAUGCCUCAACGUUGAGGUCCAUAGUGAAGUGGUCGCUUCUCAGUGGUAUCGUGUGACAGGCUGCACUACAACUACAACUGACUGUCUGGGUGGCCGCCACUUACAGGUGGCGUUCGGGUAGCGGAUGGUCGACCAUCGCGAGCCACUUGAUAGGUGGUACGACCCCGUCUGGCAGGUCCGUUCAAAUAUUGUUGUCCACUGGGUGGCGCCACCCAGGUCGCUCAUCUGACAGAGGCCUUACCGUCCAUUUACAAGAAAAAAACAAAGGGAGGCGAGCUCGUGGGCCGAUCAAUCACAUUAUUUCCUGAAAAAUACUGGCUUGGGGAAACACAUCACGCCACCUCAAGGUUCGCCCUGAUUGGCUGGUGAGACAGUGCCCAGUGAAAGUACCAGUUUCUUGCUGCGCAGUUGUGCGUUCACGUGCUGGGAUUUUCCAACGACGCACUAACUUGAGGCGUAAAUAACUGACCUGCUGGCGACAGUGUGUUGCGCCCGUGCCUUCCCCUCCUUUUAAUCUUUCUAGACUGUUCUCGAAAACUACCAGUGAACUAUCCAUACUAUGCUUUAAAAUAUAUAGAAAACAUAAUUAAUACACAUGUUAAUUUUCAAUUAUGAAGUAAACAAAUAAUAAAACCUUACAAAACAUAACUUAAAUUAAUGAUAAUCACCAACAAAAUAUUGAAAGUAAAAAUAAUUGUAAAAAUAUUCACAAAAACUUUAAACCUAAAAGGUUCUUAUUUAAACGUGAAAAAUAGUAAGGGGUGGGUAGGCCUGUACGAAUACCAGUUUUUCAAUGCAAAGCUAAUACUUACUAUUCGUGCGAAGCCAAAUCGAAUAGUAAAUAAUUUUUUCUGCUGUAAUUUUAAAUAUUUAAUUUUGUUAGUCUAAAAUUUUUUUAACUGCACAUAUGUAGUUAAACAAGUGAAAACCAAAUGUAAAGUCAGUAGCACACGGUACAAUAUUCCUUACAAUAUCGUUACUGGAUUGCUUACAAGUUUCUUUACUGGAUACAUUACUGGCUGGAGUACUAGCUUUUCGCUUCACACGAUACUGGAUACUUUACUAGUUGCGUUCUGAGCAUUUUCAAAACAAUGAGUUUGUCAAAAUGACAGAAAGUUGCCGCAGUGACACUUCUGAUUGCUUUAGAUGCAGAAAGGAGUAAAGAAAAGAAAAAAAAGGAAAUUGUGGGCAAGAGAAUGGUUGUUAAGAAGAGAUCUGAAUCGAGGUACACUUGCAAUGCUUUUUGGGGAACUUGGGUAAGCAAGAUUUGAGGCUAUGCUAUAUAUGUCCAAUUAGUUUUUGCCUUGAAAUGCGAUAAUCUGUGGAUUUGUGUGUAUAUGUUACAGUCCCGAAGAUCCGAAUUCUUUUACAAAUUACACACGGAUGGGCGAAGCUGUGUUGGAUGAGCUUCUCGUUCUCAUUGCGCCCAAAAUAAUCAAAGUAGAUACAGUUAUGAGAAAAGCUAUCCCUGCAAGAUAUAGGUUUGCCGCAACACUGAGAUAUCUUGCAACUGGCUCCACAUUUCAGGAUUUUUCCUACUCGACUAGAAUUGCUCCGAAUACACUUCCUAAAAUAGUGACUGAAACACUGGAAGCUAUUGUCACAGUCUUAGGUAAGAAGAAAGUGAUAGCUUGCCCAAGUAACCCACAAGAAUGGGAAUCUGUAGCGUCCCAAUUUGAUGUGCUGUGGCAGUUUCCACACUGUGUAGGUGCAUUAGAUGGGAAACAUAUUAAUUUCAGACCACCAAGGUGUGAGGGAUCUAUGUACAGAAAUUACAAAGGACAUGAUAGUAUUGUUUUACUUGCUCUUGUUGAUGCUAAAUAUCAAUUUAUUUUCAUUGACGUUGGCAAAAAUGGGCGUUUGCAUGAUGCUUCUGUGUUCCGAGAGAGCACCCUCUCACAAAAUUUGUUGUCUGGCAAUUGAACUUGCCAGUGCCACAUCCAUUGACUGGGGGAGAUGUUCAAUUGCCAUACGUCAUCACGGCAGAUGAUGCUUUCCCUUUGAAAGAAAAUAUUAUGAAACCUUAUCCAGGACAUUCUUUAGAUGUAAAGAAAAAAAUAUUCAAUUACAGACUCAGUAGAGCACGCAGAAUAGUUGAAAAUGCUUUUGGUAUACUAGUCAACAGGUUUUGGGUAUUACUGCACACUAUUUCUCUUUCUGUUGAAAAGGUAGAGUUGAUUGUUUAUGCAUGCUGUUUGUUGCACAAUUAUCUAUUGAAAGUGAAAGCGCCCUGGUCUGUACAAACAGGCAAGUAAGAUGUAACACCACCAUUAAAAUUGCAGUCUGUUGCAACUCAACGUGUAAACAGGUCGACAAAUGUACGCAAUGAGUUUGCUGAGUACUUUUCCACAGUUGGUGCAGUUCCAUGGCAAAACCUGCGCGUGGAACUAGGUGACUACUAGCCUGUUAAGUGACCCACUCCAGAAGUUUAUAACACUAUAUGAUGCAUUUUUAGUUGUAUUAUUGUGUUUAUAAUUCAGUAUAUUUUCUGUCAUGUAUUUUGUUGCUUAUUUUUUUUAAACAUAUACAAUACAUCCUUAAUAAUUUUAAACUAUACUGAAUGUUGAAUCUUAAAUAGAAAUGCAGUGAGCUAAGAAUCAAUUUAACAGCAAAGUUAAUAAUAAAUAAAAAUUUGUCAAAACUAUUGCAUUGAUUCCCAAGUAAACAAAAGGGUUUUAGGUUUUCUUACCCAAAAAGUUUUAUUACUUUUUAGUUUCAGUUUUAUAAACCAUCAUUAAAGGAACUGAGCAAAAACUUGAAUAUCACAGCAGGAAUUUAAGUGUUUUAUUGUGAUGUGUAAAAGAGUCAAAAUAGUAUUUUUACAUACACAAUGUAUGUUAGAAAAAAGGACAGGUUCUGCAGUAACAGCUUAUACCUGUGCAUGUCAUUCUUCUCUUUGUGAAUCAUUAUUAACGGAAAACAUCAGACAGUUAUAUAACAUUGUGUAUUUGGCUCCGUGCAUAUGUAUUUCAAAUCGAAAUGUUGAAAGCUAUUGUUUAGGAAAUUAUUUGGGCAUUAAAUCAUACAUUUUCAUAGUCCUCCAGUCAACUUUGUUAAUUUUGUACUGUAUUUUGAAUGUUUAAUAUGUAAACUCUUGAGUAAAUGAUGACAAAAAAAUUGGUAAAUAGUAAAAAUAUAUAAUAAUACAUGUUUACAUGUUACGCCAUACUUCUAUACUACAUAAAUGGAAAGCAAACUGUGUAUUUUCAUGUUUGAUGUUUUGUAAGGAAUAAAAUUGUAUUAAAUUAUUCUCAAAGAAAAUCUUCAAUGUGUAUGCUAAAAAGUUGAAAAACAUUUUUGCGGUAAUGUCUCACUUAUGUAAUUAAGCAUCACAUACUGUACUAACAUGUUGUGUCCUCAACAAUGUCUAUCCAUUUUCUUGUCGAGUCCAAUAAACAUGUAGGUAUUCAGUUAUAAGAUAUUACUUGCAAUAUAGCUCUUGAAGUAUGCUGAGCACAUUGUAAAUAUUUGGAUGUAAUGUUAUUUUAUUGUUUCGAACAGACUUUCGAGAAACUGAGAACUUCUGAAAGCUCAGCGGAAAAUUUAAUCUGCUGCAUCUGCACUUGGGUGUGAUAACUUCAGGUGUAUAAAGAAUUUUUAUGUAAAUUUUUGUGGAAUAUAUUUCAUUCCAUUCAAAGAAAGUAUAAAAAACAUAUCCGUUAACUAAGGUGGCAUGGUUGUUGCUGCUGCAUCAUUAAGAAUUAAAUGAAAGUGUUUGUUAUCACAAAACUCUGUACAUUUGUAGUUUGGAACUACACACCAACUCUCAUGUUGUUUGCAUUUUUAAAACAAAUGUUGGAGAUGUGUGUGUGUGUGUGUGUCACAACAUAUUGUGUAUUCAUUGUGUAUUCCAAAAUGGCAAAAAUAAAAAAAUCAUUACAAAUAUAUCUGAAAUGUUAUGAAAUUUUAUUACACUCUAAACAGUUACAUACAUAACGUCAUAAUUUUUUCCCAAGAAAUGUAUAUACUGUCCAAUGAAAUAAAUUUUUCAUGUUUAAUUUUCACUAUAGUUCUAAACAGAAAUAAUUAAAUGUGAUUUAUUCGUAAAGAAUUUGUGGGAUUCAGCAUGUGGAAUUUGUUCUGCUCAUCAAUGUUAUACUUUGGAAUAAAAUUGUUAUUGAAUAUCCAUGCAACUAUACAUGAAUGCAUUUCAUAAACUUUAAGGUGGUUGACUUUGUGAUUAACAUUUCAACUGGAAAAGCAUCAUCAGGCCACUUAAGUACAUGUAUUUAUACAAAAAUAUCAUCUGUGAAUAGCACAAAAACUUACAAACGUUUGUUAGUGCAUGUGUUGCACGAAGAGAUGUGGACUGCAAUAAUUAGCGGAUGCAACAUUUGUAAACAGCUAUAGUUCGAUUGAAAACGAGUCGCGAUAGUAACCAACGUCCACUCACCACCAUGUUGAUUGUCAGACUGUCGACUGUCCUCUUCCUGUGCGCAGGUGCACCAACCUACUUCCUGGCCACUCCAGAGUGACCAACCUCAAUGCCCUGCAGGGCGGGAAGUUUAAAAUGUUCAAAGUCUAUACACUACACUAAACAGUCUCAAACUAUAUACACAAGUCUGAACAGCAUGUAUGCAUGUGAAGUGUGUUAAAGACAGCCGUCACCUCAUGCGUGAAUUUUUUAGUAGUACAAUUCAUAGAAGACUUUCUUGAAAGUGUACUUUGAUGUAGUUUACCUAAUUCAGUAAAUUUAAGUAUGUUUGAAUGUAAAAUUUUAUGUAAUAUUAUUGUGUACAUUUAUUUGCAAGGACAUAUUAUGUAAUAAAAAAAAUUUACACUACAAAAGUU